rnacentral:rRNA from 1 species
AGCGAACGCUGGCGGCAGGCCUAACACAUGCAAGUCGAACGAACUCAUCGGAGUUAGUGGCGGCUGGGUGAGUAACACGUGGGAAGGUGCCUUUUGGGUCGGACUAACUCAGGGACACUUGUGCUAAUACGGAAUGUGCGCUUCGGGGGAAUGACUUAUCGCCAUUAGUGCGGCCCGCGUCUGAUUAGCUCGUUGGGGAGGUAACGGCUCACUACGGCGCCGAUCAGUAGCUUGUUUGUGAGGCUGACCAGCCACACCGAGACUAGGACACGGCCCAGACUCCUACGGAAUGCAGCAGUGGCGGAUCUUGCGAAAUGGGCGGAAGCCUGACGCAGCCAUGCCGCGUGAAUGAUGAAAGUCUUAGGAUAGUAAAAUGCUUUCACCGAGGACGAUAAUGACGGUACCCAGAGAAAAAGCCCCGGCUAACUUCGUG